rnacentral:rRNA from 1 species
GAUGAACGCUGGCGGCGUGCUUAACACAUGCAAGUCGAACGGAAAGGCCCAAGCUUGCUUGGGUACUCGAGUGGCGAACGGGUGAGUAACACGUGGGUGAUCUGCCCUGCACUUCGGGAUAAGCCUGGGAAACUGGGUCUAAUACCGGAUAGGACCUCUUCUUGGAUGUUGUGGUGGAAAGUUUUUCGGUGUGGGAUGAGCUCGCGGCCUAUCAGCUUGUUGGUGGGGUAAUGGCCUACCAAGGCGUCGACGGGUGGCCGGCCUGAGAGGGUGUACGGCCACAUUGAGACUGCGAUACGGCGCAGAAGCAGACGGGAGGCAGCAGUGGGGAAUAGUGCAAAAUGGGAGCAAGGCUGAUGCAGCGACGGCGCGUGGGGGGUGACGGCCUUCGGGUAGUAAACUCCAUUCGCUAGGGACGAAGCUUAUUUUGUGACGGUACCUGGAGAAGAAGCACCGGCUAACUACGUG